AACGAACGCUGGCGGCAGGCUUAACACAUGCAAGACGAACGCCCCGCAAGGGGAGUGGCAGACGGGUGAGUAACGCGUGGGAACAUACCCUUUUCUACGGAAUAGCUCUGGGAAACUGGAAUUAAUACCGUAUACGCCCUACGGGGGAAAGAUUUAUCGGGGAAGGAUUGGCCCGCGUUGGAUUAGCUAGUUGGUGGGGUAAAGGCCUACCAAGGCGACGAUCCAUAGCUGGUCUGAGAGGAUGAUCAGCCACAUUGGGACUGAGACACGGCCCAAACUCCUACGGGAGGCAGCAGUGGGGAAUAUUGGAAAAUGGGCGCAAGCCUGAUCCAGCCAUGCCGCGUGAGUGAUGAAGGCCUUAGGGUUGUAAAGCUCUUUAACCGAUGAAGAUAAUGACGGUAGUCGGAGAAGAAGCCCCGGCUAACUUCGUG
rnacentral:rRNA from 1 species